AACCGGGGAUUGCCUCAGUAACGGCGAGUGAAGCGGCAAGAGCUCAAAUUUGAAAUCUGGCCCCUUUGGGGUCCGAGUUGUAAUUUGCAGAGGAUGCUUCGGGUGCGGUCCCCGUCUAAGUGCCCUGGAACGGGCCGUCAUAGAGGGUGAGAAUCCCGUCUGGGAUGGGCGGCCGCGCCCGUGUGAAGCUCCUUCGACGAGUCGAGUUGUUUGGGAAUGCAGCUCUAAGCGGGUGGUAAAUUUCAUCUAAAGCUAAAUACUGGCCGGAGACCGAUAGCGCACAAGUAGAGUGAUCGAAAGAUGAAAAGCACUUUGAAAAGAGAGUUAAACAGCACGUGAAAUUGUUGAAAGGGAAGCGUUGUCCACCAGACUCGCCCGGGGGGGUUCAGCCGGCACGUGUGCCGGUGUACUCCUCUCCGGGCGGGCCAGCAUCGGUUUGGGCGGCUGGUGAAAGGCCCCGGGAAUGUAACACCCUUCGGGGUGCCUUAUAGCCCGGGGUGCCAUACAGCCAGCCUGGACCGAGGCCCGCGCUUCGGCGAGGAUGCUGGCGUAAUGGUGGUCAACGGCCCGUCUUGAAACACGGACCAAGGAGUCUAACAUCUAUGCGAGUGUUCGGGUGUCAAACCCGUCCGCGCAGUGAAAGCGAACGGAGGUGGGAGCCCCUCGGGGCGCACCAUCGACCGAUCCUGAUGUCUUCGGAUGGAUUUGAGUAAGAGCAUAGCUGUUGGGACCCGAAAGAUGGUGAACUAUGCCUGAAUAGGGCGAAGCCAGAGGAAACUCUGGUGGAGGCUCGCAGCGGUUCUGACGUGCAAAUCGAUCGUCAAAUUUGGGUAUAGGGGCCAAA
rnacentral:rRNA from 1 species